UGUCAAAUUGAAAGGGACGGGAGAUGGGUCGGCUAUGUAGCAGUGUUAUUGUAAUACUUAUAGUGUCUCUCGCAUAUCUGGUGGUUGGAGUACCAGUUCGCAGUUCUCUGGAUAAAGAUAACAACGUAAGAAAAAGUAGGAGUACAUCCGCAGAUAAUCCCACAGUUCACUUUCAGGAGAAGGAGAUACUCUGCCCAGGGGCUUGCAGUCCAGGACUGAGGUGUGCAGAAUACGGACAUGUCGCACUGUGUUAUUAAGAACACGUGACACCGUGGUAUUAAGAUCAAGUGGUAUUGAGAUAACACUAAUGGUCACGAGAUUCAAUUUAACGUCGGCCUUUGUUCCCUUUUUGUCGAUGAGCUACAGCCAUUUUAAUUUGCGAAUCAGGAAGUGGGUAAAAUUUCGAUUUAUAUCACAAUAAAUAUGCUCAAAGUUACAUAUGCUCCAAACUUCAAUAUUAUCAACAAUUCCAGUUUUCGUAUUAUAUGAGUUACUUUACUUUUCCUUUUGAAAUAUUGAGGUCCAAGGGGAGAUUUUUAAUUUAAAUAUGUAUUUCUUAAUCUAACUUUACUAUGUAUUUCUCAGUAUCAGAUUGAAGAAUGAAUUAUCACUGCAUUUCAA